GAUGAACGCUGGCGGCGUGCCUAAUACAUGCAAGUCGAGCGAACAGACGAGGAGCUUGCUCCUCUGACGUUAGCGGCGGACGGGUGAGUAACACGUGGAUAACCUACCUAUAAGACUGGGAUAACUUCGGGAAACCGGAGCUAAUACCGGAUAAUAUAUUGAACCGCAUGGUUCAAUAGUGAAAGACGGUUUUGCUGUCACUUAUAGAUGGAUCCGCGCCGCAUUAGCUAGUUGGUAAGGUAACGGCUUACCAAGGCGACGAUGCGUAGCCGACCUGAGAGGGUGAUCGGCCACACUGGAACUGAGACACGGUCCAGACUCCUACGGGAGGCAGCAGUAGGGAAUCUUCCGCAAUGGGCGAAAGCCUGACGGAGCAACGCCGCGUGAGUGAUGAAGGUCUUCUGAUCGUAAAACUCUGUUUUUAGGGAAGAACAAAUGUGUAAGUAACUAUGCACGUCUUGACGGUACCUAAUCAGAAAGCCACGGCUAACUACGUG
rnacentral:rRNA from 1 species